rnacentral:lncRNA from 1 species
UUCAGUUUAUCUCAUUUGAUCCCACUUUCAGUCUUUUAUCUCAUUUUUAAUUUAUUAUCAUUUCAGUUUAUUUUCUUGGUCAUAAAAAGAGAAAUAGGUGAGUUCUCAAUUCUCUGUGGAUUCGAUCCUUUCACCAUUAUCUACAGUUGUAAAUUGUUGAUAACCAGAAAUGUUAUUGUUGACCGGCUUCGACAACCGCGAGUCAAAAAUUGGCGCCGUUGCCGGGGAAUUGAUUUAACUUGUUUAUUUUUCUUUCAUGACCAGAUCUAAAAAAAAAAAAAGAAAGAAAAAGAGAGCACUCUAUCACAGAAUUGAUUCAUGGAUGAGGUAUGUACAUCUACUUUUUCCUCUCAACUUUCUGAACAGACAUCUGUUGUGAAAAGUUAUGUCAUAGGCCGAGCCCAUCAAACUCAACAAAUUCAGCCACCUAGGCCAUGUGGGACCAACGCAUAUGUAGGACAUCCAACUAAUCAAUAUCCUAUACUUUAUGAGGAUGACCAACCAGUACAUGCACUUGGAGGAUUCAAUAGUCAGCCUAGACAUGAUCCAUACUCUAACACAUACAAUUCAGAUUGGAGAGACUCUCCAGACUUCAGUUAUGCAAGGGGUAACAAUUACCAGAACUAUCAGAGAGACGAACCCUAUGCUGACACAUACAAUCCAGGUUGGGGAGACUAUCCAGACUUCAGUUAUACAUGGGCUAACGACUACCAAAAUUAUCAAGAAAAUCAAGCCCAAGAAGCACCUCCCAGUUCCACUAUGCACCUUGAGAAGAUGAUAGAGACAUUGGCUAAUUCUGUGGAAGGUCUCCAAACACAGAUGGGACAAAUGGCCAUCUCAUUAAGUGCAAUCAUGUUAAAAAGAGAGGAAGAGCUUCAAGAUGUAUGGGAUGAUGAUGAAAGUUCACAAGUUAAAAAACAAGCUGCUGAAGAAACAUAACCAGAAAACUAUUUGUCCAAACAAACUGGUCAAACAGAACCUGUUGAUAGUUUAGACGUCAUUGAUUGUUUGAACAAUGAUGUUUUUUAUAUGAAUCAAUAUGAUAUCCUGAACAAUGAUCUUUGCAGGAAAGAGAACCAGAAAGAGCCAGAACUAAAAGAAACUGACUGUUGCAUCCAACAAGUGGACUACAGCUAUGCGCAGAAUAAAGGAAGCUCAAUCGUACCUCUUCAAAUGAGUUCGCAGAAGAGCCUUGCACAGACAGAGGACAUCCAAACCGAACCGCUUCAGCUCCCAUCACAGGACAAUCCCACCAUUCUCCCAUUUCAGAAGGGCAUUGCGCAAACUGAAGCACCUCCAUGCGCAUCCUUUCAGCUUCCAAUGCAUGUGAGCUCUCCCAGUCCUCCCUUUCAGUCCAAUCUUGCGCAGAAGGAGGAAACUGAAACCAAUUCAGCCAUAGAUCCAACGCAAACAGUCCAUGCUCACAAGGAAAAACUGGUAUUCCAAGCAUCUAAACCAAAGGACCAUGCAGAUCAAUGCCUUCCCAAACCUCCGGAUAAGGUAGAGUUUGUUUUGCCUGAAUUCAAUACUAAAUUGCAGCUAGCUAUGGAGAAAUAUGAAUUGAAGUUGGAAGUGCAUAAAAAUGCAAACAUAAGGGCUAGAGGCACAUCUCAUCUGAAAGAGGAAAGGCUAAUCAUGUUAAUUCAUGAGUACAUGGAGAAAAUAGGAUGGGCGAUGACCAAAUCACAAGGAGUGCUACACUUUUUACUCAAUGCAGUUGGGACCUUUUUCCCUUCUCCAAUUACUUGAGCCUUGAUCAAAUGGAUCACACCAUGCACACCACACCCAGGGGAGUACUCAGUUUCUUUUGCAUUUUAAUAUUUCCUAUACAUUGAGGACAAUGCAUGAUUUAGGUGUGGGGGUGCAUAUUUCUAAAUUUUUAAUUUUUGCUUUGAUUUUCAGUUUGAAUUUUUAUUUUCAUUUUCAGUGUGAUUUUUUCAAUUUUUCAUUUUGCUUUCAAUAACACACACAGACAGGCACAAUUUUUAUUUAUUUAUUUUGUUUCCGUUUUUGAGAUGCUUUACUCAUCAUAUAGACUAUGUUGGAUGAGUUUUCUUUCCAUGACCCCAUUGAUGUGAUGACUCUUUAAACUUAUAUUGAAUCAAUUGCAGUGAGUUAUAUUCAUAUUUGAGAAUUACCUUUUGAAUUGAAUCUUUGAGUUUGCCAUGGUGAAAAAUGUAUUGAUGACACUCAUUAGAGAGAAUGAAUUGAAAUUAUGUGAAUGAACUUAACUUGACUUGAUUUAGCAAUUGGUGUUGAUUUGCCCAAAUCAUUGAGAGAAAGAAAUUCACAAAGGCUUAGACUUCAAAAGCACAAAUUGAAAACUAUUUCAAUGGUCAAAAGACUAUAAACAGAGCUAGUAGCCACUUGGAUAGGUGACCAACUGAGUAACUGGGGGUGGGUAUCACAAAUAUGUACCUUCACGUCAAAAGGUUGGUGACUUGUUCAAGCAAAAUUAAAAGUGCAAAAAGCUGAAUAAAGUACUUCAAGGUAAGGGCAAGUCACUCUGAAAGCUAGAAAAAGUCUUAUCUGAACAAUUAAUAUGUGCAUGCAUGAUCUCUCUCUUGAGUAAAACAAAUCCUAGCCAUGGUAAGUAAAGGGAAACAAGGAAAGAAGGUGAGUAAUCUUCAUGCAUAUAUUCUUUACUGCAAUGAUUCAAAAUAGGGGUCUAGAGUAAGAGCUUAAGUGGAAAUAAGGAUCUAGAGUGAGAAAGCUUGUUUGACUAUGUUUAUUUGCUUGAGGACAAGCAAAAGGCUAGGUGUGGGGGUAUUUGAUAGAGCAUAAUUUAGUCCAUUUUAUAUUAAUAUUAUUGAUGAAUAUUUACAUGAUUUCUGCUUAAUUUAGUGCUUUUAAUAUUAUUUUGCAGAAAAUGGUGUAAAAGGACAAUUUGGAGAAAAUCUCCCUAAAACUGCCUUAUUUGGAGCAAAAGAGAGCAAACCUGCCAAGUUGGAUUCAAGUCAAGCUAAAUGAGGAAAAUAUUUUGAACUUUAAAUCUUCAAGCACUUGGGCCAAGUACAUGGACCAAACUCACGCAAUGGACCCGCCAAAGCAAGCUCACGCAUAUGGACUCCACUUCACCCAUUCCAGCGCACUUGGACACAUGCACACGGCCCAUUCCCGCACAUUCACGCGCACGUGAAUCAAGCUCACUUCACGUGGACCAAACUCCCGCACUUGGGCCCGCUUGUGGACCCAAAAACCCCCUAAAACACCUCAAAACAAUCAUGCAAAACAUGCAAAGGAAGGCUGAACAGGGCACUUUCGGCGGCAGGUUUGGCGGCCGAAAGUCCCUCCAGAGCCGAAAGUCAGGCAGGUUCGGCGGCACCUUCGGCGGCACCUUCGGCGGCCGAAAGUGCCCUCCAGAGACGAAAGUCCAUUUUCGGGGGCAUGCUUCAGCAGCCGAAAGGCUUGCCUCCCAAGCAGGUUUGGCGGCCGAAACUCCUUCGGCUGCCGAACCUAGUUUCUGCCAAAAGGGCAGAAACUCGGCUCACACAUGCACAAACGCCUCCCAAACAUUCAAUCAUGCAUACCACUCAACCAAAACAUGCAUAAACACAUAUUGCACAUGGACCAGCGCUCUUCAUCAAUCUCGCAUACGUGGACGGCCCACCCUUGCAAAGAAGACAAACGCAUUGUCAAGCACUUGGACCCGCCACUCACACUCAACACUCACACAGCCCACUCACGCCAAUUCUCCCGCACAUGGGACAUCAACACACGUGGACAGCAAUUGCCAAAUUAGGGCGCAUCUCUCCAGCUCUAUUUAAAGAGCCUUAAAUGGCCGACCUCCAACACAAUUCCUCUCGGUAAUUCCGCAAGCCCGGCGCAAGGAGCUCUCCACCUUCAUCCUUCGAUUUCUUUUCUUUCUUUUCCCUUUUAUUUUUCUGUUUUUAAUUCAGCCAAUGAGUGGCUGAUUUCUUUAAUCUAGUUGGAUAUUGAUUGAAGAUUUAGUUGUUUAAUGGGUUGUGAGACUUGAUCAAAUAUUGUUUAACUUUUGGGUGUUUAAUAUUUAUGCAAUUUCAUACUUAAUUUUCAUAUUAUUUUGUUAUUGUGAUCUACGUUGAUUUUUUAUUGCAAAAUAAUUAUUUGUUAGUUUGAAUGAUUUAAGUCUGUAAUUGCUUAGAUUAUUCUUACAUAAGAACACUUGGCAUAAAAACCAAGGAAGUUGCAUGAUCUAGCGUUAUCUCCAUACGUUUGGGUAGCUAGGAUUAGAUCUCUCUAUUUCUUAAAGCAAUUGAUAGUUGUUUGUUGCUUGAGGCCCAAGGACGUUCCUUGGAAACUUAUUGAUUAGUAAUUAAUUAGAGGACGUUCCCUAAUUAAUUUAAUAAUAAGGAGAGAUAAUGGUGGUGAGAGGCUUCCUCCAUCUCCAUAACUAAUCUAUUGAAUCAACCCAAAAGAACAAAGUGUCUGUGAUAAAUCCCAACAACUAAAGUGGAUCCAAUACUUCAACUAGAGCUUUCUCAUUAUUGAUUACUUUUUAUUUAAUUAUUUGUUUUCCAUUAUUAUUCUCAUUAUUAGUUUACUACAAUCAAUCUCAAAUCCCCCCUGUUAUUUUUUUGAUCCCAAUUUUCAGUUUAUCUCAUUUGAUCCCACUUUCAGUCUUUUAUCUCAUUUUUAAUUUAUUAUCGUUUCAGUUUAUUUUCUUGGUCCUAAAAAAAGAAAUAGGUGAGUUCUCAAUUCUCUGUGGAUUCGAUCCUUUCACCACUAUCUGCAGUUGUAAAUUGUUGAUAACCAGAAAAGUUAUUUUUGACCGGCUUCGACAACCGCGAGUC